rnacentral:ncRNA from 1 species
GAUAAUUGGAUUGUGGCAACGAAGCGUUCAAGUGACGUAGCUUUUUGAUUCUUCGAUGCUGGCUCUUCCAAUCAUUGAGAAGCACAAUUCGCAAAGCGUUGGAUUCUUCACCCACCAGUAGGAAAGGUGAGGUAAUAGAACA